GUUUCUGCGGAAAUGCUUUAGGGUUACUGCUUGCAAUGUUGUGUUUGCACGUUAUCUGGGAAACCAGAUAGGUGGCGAAAGCCACUAUGUUUCACUUCCUGUACAAAUUUUGACCCUAUCUGUCAAUAGUGAAUUCUUUUUCUGCACUGCCUCUGGCGGUGCGUUUUUUU
rnacentral:other from 1 species